ACGCGAUGCAGCUGUCGGGCCAGGAUGGCACUGAUGGGAAGCGGCAGGACGAGCAGCUCUCCAUGAUGGGGGGCUCUCAGCUGCCCACAACACCAACGGCCACCCCAGAGACCUCGACCUCGAGGAGCCAGAAAAGCACCGCCUCCCCGCUGCUGUUAGCCGUGCUGAAGCGCCAACCAGCCUCAGCUCCCGGACGCCUCACCCAGGCACCGAAGCUGCUGCCACACCGCAUUAAAUCAGCGCCCUGACAGCCGGGCAGGACGGGGGUCCCGGCCCCGGUCCCACCGCCCCGGGCGCUGAGCCGGCAGCGGCUGCAAUAAAUGGCGAUGGGCAACCAA